rnacentral:rRNA from 1 species
GAUGAACGCUGGCGGCGUGCCUAACACAUGCAAGUCGAGCGAUUUACUUCGGUAAAGAGCGGCGGACGGGUGAGUAACGCGUGGGUAACCUGCCCUGUACACACGGAUAACAUACCGAAAGGUAUGCUAAUACGAGAUAAUAUGCUUUUAUCGCAUGGUAGAAGUAUCAAAGCUUUUGCGGUACAGGAUGGACCCGCGUCUGAUUAGCUAGUUGGUAAGGUAACGGCUUACCAAGGCGACGAUCAGUAGCCGACCUGAGAGGGUGAUCGGCCACAUUGGAACUGAGACACGGUCCAAACUCCUACGGGAGGCAGCAGUGGGGAAUAUUGCACAAUGGGCGAAAGCCUGAUGCAGCAACGCCGCGUGAGCGAUGAAGGCCUUCGGGUCGUAAAGCUCUGUCCUCAAGGAAGAUAAUGACGGUACUUGAGGAGGAAGCCCCGGCUAACUUCGUGCCAGCAGCCGCCGUAAGAC